UACGUAGGGGGCAAGCGUUGUUCGGAAUUACUGGGCGUAAAGGGCGCGUAGGCGGCACGGCAAGUCAGGAGUGAAAGCCCCUGGCUCAACUGGGGAAGUGCACCCGAAACUGAAUGGCUUGAAUACAAAAGAGGGUCGCGGAAUUCCCGGUGUAGAGGUGAAAUUCGUAGAUAUCGGGAGGAACACCGGUGGCGAAGGCGGCGACCUGGGUUGAUAUUGACGCUGAGGCGCGAAAGCGUGGGGAGCAAACAGG
rnacentral:rRNA from 1 species